ensembl:snoRNA
CUGCAUGUAGAAAUGUUUGUUCCUCUAUCCUUUGGGAACAGUAAUACAUUCAUAACAAUGCUACAUGUAAAAAGGACUCCUCAGGGUGGCCAACCUUAGGGUAGAGGUUGUAUGGUAGUAUAUUUCUCCUUCAUAA